CAGCUAUGAUGAAUUUUAUUCCAAUCAUUCGCAGUUUCCACCAUAAAGACUUCUUAGUCUUAAUGAUGGCUGAAGAUCCUUCCUUGGAUGUCUGAGCUG
rnacentral:snoRNA from 1 species